rnacentral:rRNA from 1 species
AACGAACGCUGGCGGCAUGCCUAACACAUGCAAGUCGAACGAGACCUUCGGGUCUAGUGGCGCACGGGUGCGUAACGCGUGGGAACCUGCCCUUAGGUUCGGAAUAACUCCCCGAAAGGGGUGCUAAUACCGGAUAAUGUCUUCGGACCAAAGAUUUAUCGCCUUUGGAUGGGCCCGCGUUGGAUUAGCUUGUUGGUAGGGUAAAAGCCUACCAAGGCGACGAUCCAUAGCUGGUCUGAGAGGAUGAUCAGCCACACUGGGACUGAGACACGGCCCAGACUCCUACGGGAGGAAGCAGUGGGGAAUAUUGGACAAUGGGCGAAAGCCUGAGCCAGCAAUGCCGCGUGAGUGAUGAAGGCCUUAGGGUUGUAAAGCUCUUUUACACGGGAUGAUAAUGACAGUACCGGGAGAAUAAGCGCCGGCUAACUCCGUG